UUGUAAAUCUUUUUGCGUACUGGCAAAUCAAAGGAAGGAACUCUUCCUCUGGCUUUUUCAAUAGGAAUGAUUCCUGCCAAAGAAGGGAUCCUUGAGAAACUGAUAAAGAAUUUCCAAUUUCCUGGAGAAAACUGGAGGACUGACCACCAAACUUUUCUGCCCACAAAUAUGGUGGAAAGUUCAAAAAAUUAUUUACAGCAAAAAAUAUACUUCAGCAAACACCUUAAAAUUAAGCACCUAUCUGAAUUAAAAUAUGUAUUCCUGUAGUUCAGGUUUUCUAUUGUGAUUGGAUAUUAGGGAGGAUAUAAACAUGGCCUCAUACAUAGCAAUGGCCUCAUACAUGCAUUUCCUUAAAAUAUCUUUCCGUUCUAUUUUACCAGCUACUUUGUGAAGAGUAUCUAAACUGAGAAACCCAUCAUUCUCGUGCAAGAGGUGAUACCUACCCCCAGAUAAAUUGCCAGAAAGGUACCAAAUAUUCUGAAUUACUUGAACCUCAACAUGCAAAUAUUCAGUACAGAUUAAGCUUGACCCUCCUUGAUAUCAAAAGCCUUUGAAGAGGACCAACCAACCACUCUUAUGGCCACGAGACAUUGGCAAAGAGCUUUUGACAAGUUCAUGGGACAAAGUUUUACAACUAAGUACUAUCAGCCCUGCAGUAUCCCUCAGUGGACUUCUCCUCACAUACCAAUAUUGACUGGAAGCAGCCUCAAAGGAAGGAGAAUCACCAUAAAACAAUGUUCCCUAAUCCCAUGAGCCACAGUGCUAUCAAAGCCCCCUGUCAACUCUACAAAUGAGCACGGCUGCAGCCAUUUUCCUUCUCCUUCUAGGUUGCCACAUAGAUCGGAGGGAGGGGGUUGUCCAGGUGCUUGGUUAGUCAAAAUAAUCUUUUGUCCCAUGGGAACCAAGGUCAUUGACUGCUCCCGAGAUUAGGGACUGGGCGUUGCAUGGGUGGGACAUUUAACUUUGUAUUGAGGAAUUGUUACUUGUGUAUCCAGACUCUUGACCAUGCUGAUGCUUUGUAAUCAAUAAAGAUGUUCUUUGAG